AGGAGAUAUAUUACAAAGAAAGAAGAGCAUCGAGCCCUUGAAAUGCAAAACUACUUAGGGUUAGCCAAAAACACUGGAAAUUUUGAUCCUGAAAGACAGGUGGAAGGAGAGAUUUUCAGGAUAGGGAUGAUCUUGGAGGACAUUAAAGAGCAGAUGGAUAAAAACGCACACAGUCGGCUCUCCUCAGCCACGUGCUCUUCUAGCCCUUCGCCAUUACUGCUUUCGGACCCCAUCACCCCAUCGCGGCAUUCAUUCCCCAAGAAGUGUCAUUCUCCAGGCAAGGCUGAGGGGGGGGGCAGCUCAGUGUGUGGAGCUAUUGGACCUUCUGAGAACAGACCACCCAUUCAUGCAGGUUCUUUAAAACAUUGUGCUGGUCACAGGUAUGUCCAUAUCAGAUUUGUAUUUUGUCCUCUGCUGCUUCACAUACUGUUCGCAUAACAUUUGCAACAGAAAUAUUUAUAACUUUUUAUAAGAAAAUAGCUUUUUGAGCCUUAAAAUGUCUCACUGGUGACUAACUAGAGAAGAAAAGAGUGAGGGGGUGUACGUUUUUUUUCACCAGUGGAAGCAUGCUGGUGGACGUUGAAAGCAGAGAGU